rnacentral:rRNA from 1 species
AUUGAACGCUGGCGGCAGGCCUAACACAUGCAAGUCGAACGGUAACAGGAAGCAGCUUGCUGCUUUGCUGACGAGUGGCGGACGGGUGAGUAAUGUCUGGGAAACUGCCCGAUGGAGGGGGAUAACUACUGGAAACGGUAGCUAAUACCGCAUAACGUCGCAAGACCAAAGAGGGGGACCUUAGGGCCUCUUGCCAUCGGAUUUGCCCAGAUGGGAUUAGCUAGUAGGUGGGGUAACGGCUCACCUAGGCGACGAUCCCUAGCUGGUCUGAGAGGAUGACCAGCCACACUGGAACUGAGACACGGUCCAGACUCCUACGGGAGGCAGCAGUGGGGAAUAUUGCACAACGGGCGCAAGCCUGAUGCAGCCAUGCCGCGUGUAUGAAGAAGGCCUUCGGGUUGUAAAGUACUUUCAGCGGGGAGGAAGGGAGUAAAGUUAAUACCUUUGCUCAUUGACGUUACCCGCAGAAGAAGCACCGGCUAACUCCGUG